rnacentral:lncRNA from 1 species
GCCAGGUAAAGACAUGUCCCUUUCAUUUUCUUGUUUGUAUCAUAGGGUGUUCUUCUAUCACUCGAAGUACACGCAUUUAAGCCCAUUGACAACCAUGCAAUUAAAUUAAACAAAUCUCUAAAGAAUGCAACUUAUCAUUCACAACCUUUUCACGUGAGAGGAUCAUUGUGUUUUUUCUAAUACAAUGAUUAUAACUUCCCUUGAUAAAGCUGACAAGCUAAGAAAACAUUAUUUUCUACUCUACAAGAGCUUCCAAAAAUGGGAGAGACUCAUGGAAGGCUUAGUAUGAUCCAUGUAAUAUAAGGAAGAAUUGGCGGCGGGGGNGGGGGGGGUGGUGUAAGACCUGCAGAAAACCAAAUGUACAAUGGGAAGCAAAUAAGAACAAUAGCUUAGUAGCAUCACGAUAUAUGUAGUCAUGCAGUCGAUAAGAUACCCCCCAAAAUCUCACCAAAUAUCAUUCUUUUAGUUUAUGAAAAUAAAUCAAAUACCUCACAUUAAUCUCACCAAGCUAAGAGCAAAUUCAAAGCAUGAGUGGGGAGGCAAGGCACUAGAGAGACAAAGAGAUAGCGCCAAAGCUAAUACUUGUGUACAUGUAGCAUCUCAUAUCUCUUGAUGCUCUUUGCUACGGCCAACUACCCAUCAACUCAUGCCACAUCUUCUGCAAAUGAUACAUGUUUGGAAUUGAAAUAAAUUAAUUGUAUUAACAUGGUAUCACUGGAGUUGUGUCUAUUACCACUAACUAAUGAAUUUCCAUUACAAUAUUCUUCUAUGAGCAAUGUGAAAGAAAAUAAUGAUACAGGUUAGAAUAUAUAGACAUGACAUAUUAUGUCAGACUAGACAAAAGAUGACACAUCAAAGAAAAUCAUAGAGAGUUGUAUUCUUCAUUCCUUGCUGCAGUUUAAAUAAAUAUGAUGGAACUAAUCAAUCUUUUUAAUGGCUGCAACAAAUAACUAUUGCCCUAGUAAAUCAAAACUAAUUUUUAAUAGCCACUAAUUUCCAUUAUAUAUGAACCAUCUGUAGUAAUCCAAAGUAACAUCACACAAAACCAUAUAUUUGAAAUAAUAUAGCAACUUAUUGAUCUGGUUGUGCUUCUCUUCCGCACCCUUCAAUCUGAUUGUGUGUACCUAUAAGAACAACUUAGCUGCUUCCACUAAUCAAAGUGAUUGAGUGAUUUAAUGUUGGCAAAAAAAGUACUAUAGAGCUAUCAGGUAAUACAUUGAGAUUCUCUUCAGAAAUAUGUUUGAUUUGGGAUGCUUUCUCCUUUGCAAGAGCUACACCUAGUUUGGAUUUUCUUAACUCUGGGCCUUCUCAACUUAUUGACUUGCCUCGCCGUCCUAUUACGCCAGUCAUAGUACGGUUACAUAAAAAAUUGAUGGGAGGACAGUGCAAAAACUAUGGCACAAACACAUAGGAACGACCAUCCACUUAAAGUUACAAUUUGGGCACAAACUAUGGCAGAAACACAAACUAUGGCACAAAAUUAACAUUGUGGUUUUAAUUGAAUGGAGGCUUUUAUACCACGGCUUAUACAAUUGGGGCAUCAUCUCCUUAUGUGAACAUCAGAAGCGAAAGGAUAAAAAUUGCUAUCAAUUAUGCAUGGGUUGAUUUAGCAAACAAUCUUAUAUUGUCCACUGUUGCUUCAAAAGCUACCCGUAAGAAGAUUCAACAUCAUGGUAUGGAGUCCACCAGAUUUAGAUCCUAAUAGUAGUCGAAUGGUUCAAUCCCAACCCCGCCCAGUUCCUUAAAACCAAAUGGAACAAUUCCGCAAUCCUAAACCCAAAACAACACCAAUAUUCAUACAUGCACACACGUCCUCAUAGUCCAUACCAAAUUUACAACAACUUUGAUUUUCUUAAUACUACUAACAAACAAGAUGUAGGGAGAGAAAGGGCGAGAAGAGUAAAGAUCCAGGUGUGGUAGAGAGGAAAAGAAUGAGCGCACCUGAGAUGGUGAAGGUCAGGUUGAUGCUGGACAUGCCGAUGAUUGGGAGCAGGAGGAGGGAUAUCGGCGUCGUUGCCCUCGUUCUGUCGCCGAACUCCAGCGCUGCCUCCUCAUAGCUGCCACGAACACCCCAAGCCUCCUGCGCCAGAUCAAUACGCUGCCAUCAGUGUCGAGGAAGAUC